rnacentral:rRNA from 1 species
AUUGAACGCUGGCGCCAGGCCUAACACAUGCAAGUCGAACGAGUGGCGGACGGGUUAGUAAUGUCUGGGAAACUGCCCGAUUGAGGGGGAUACCUACUGGAAACGGUAACUAAUACCGCAUACCAUCGGAUGUGCCCAGAUGGGCUUAGCUAGUAGGUGGGGUAACGGCUCACCUAGGCGACGAUCCCUAGCUGGUCUGAGAGGAUGACCAGCCACACUGGAACUGAGACACGGUCCAGACUCCUACGGGAGGCGGCAGUGGGGGAUAUUGCACAAUGGGCGCAGGCCUGAUGCAACAAUGCAGCGUGUAUGAAGGAGGCCUUCGGGUUGUAGAGUACUAUCAGCGAGGGGGCGUAACUCGCAGAAGAAGCACAGGCUGACUCCGUGCCAGGGGCCGCGGUAAUAC